ACCGUUUCAAAGAAAAAAAGUGAUGAAAAAAGUAUAAUGAAGUUUGAUUAUGUCGCUACCAUAUUGUUUAAUGCCGCAACUAAUUAUACAUGUUUAGGUGGUCCGCGCCUUGCCACGUGUCCAAGGAAACAGGUUUUUAAUAAGGAGACGGGGCAUUGCGGAGAUCCAGGAGAGGUCCCAGGAUGUGAAAACUACUGGGUGGAGAAGCUGAAAGAUACUGAGAAGGAUUAUUAUUACGAGGAAUACUACAACUAAACAAGUCAAAAAUAAUAAACGAGUCUACUCGGUUAAAUAUCAGACUUAUUACGAAUAUAAUUUAGUUUGACAAAACAGAUUUUCACAUAUUAAUUUGCUUUUUGAAUAAUCAAGCACAAAAAUCAUAUUUUUAUGUUUUAAACUAUCCAAUAGAAAAAAAUACAAAUUUGUUGAAUGUAAAAAAAAAAACAAUGAAGAAUUAAUUUUUUACCCUGAACCAUUGUAUAAUCUUUUUGUAUUCAACUUAUUUGUCUGUCGUGUAUUGUUUCUGCCUAAUUAGUCUGUAACAAUGCCCCCCUCGGUCCAUCCCAAACACUUUCCUAGUCACACUUUUUCUUUGUUGUAUAUUUCUAACAUUUGUCGGAGCUUGAAAUAUUUGAUACUGAACACGAUUUAUCAAAUCUUUCAGUUUUUUACUCUGUGAUAUUAAAUCCAUCAAGGCAGAAAGAAAAAGAUGCAUAAAGUACCUGGUUCCAUCUUUUUUAUGGCUUACAUCCGGCCUCUUUCAAGCAGAAGAUAAAUUGAGGAAUUCGAAAUAAAAAUGCUAAAAUAUAAUUGUCAUUUGACAAUUUGACCCAGAUAAUUUUACCAUCAUUAUAACAAUUGUUACAGAAAAAAUGAUAAAUUUCAUCAAAAAUCAUUUUGUAUUUUGUGCUCAUUACAAAAUCUAGUAUGCUCAAGAAAAGAUUGUUUAGGUACUUUAGUGCAUUUAGUUUUUCUGCAGUACCAUGGUACAUAUCCAAUAUAUGCUUGUAUGUACAUUUGAAUAUGUAAGUUUUAUGUACUCUGAAAUAAAUUUUCAUUGUUA